rnacentral:rRNA from 1 species
AGCAGCCGCCACGGUAAUACGUAGGUGGCAAGCGUUGUCCGGAAUUAUUGGGCGUAAAGGGCUCGCAGGCGGUUUCUUAAGUCUGAUGUGAAAGCCCCCGGCUCAACCGGGGAGGGUCAUUGGAAACUGGGAAACUUGAGUGCAGAAGAGGAGAGUGGAAUUCCACGUGUAGCGGUGAAAUGCGUAGAGAUGUGGAGGAACACCAGUGGCGAAGGCGACUCUCUGGUCUGUAACUGACGCUGAGGAGCGAAAGCGUGGGGAGCGAACAGGAUUAGAUACCCCGGUAGUCCCUGUCUCUUAUAC